rnacentral:lncRNA from 1 species
CCUGAUGCAAACAAUUUUGCACCAAGGUAUCAGUCCAGUGCUAGAGCAGUCAAACAGGUUUUUGAAUACACAUGGAAAUUUUAACCCAAAUACUCGUUUUUCGAUAAAUAAUUAAAGAUUUCCCUGUCAGCAGGCAAAUGUUCCACGGAUGCAAUUUAAUCAUUUCAAAUUUUAUAAUUUUGUUUACAGCUUGCAAUCACCGUAUGAUAUUGGUAUUUUUGGUUGUUCCCCUGUUAAUACUACGGUUUAAGGGAAUAUGUUGACUGACUACCCCGUUAAAAUAUUGGCAAAUUUAUUAUAUAAUGGUUUUAAAUAUGGUUUUCGAGCACAUCAUACAAGCAAAAUAUUAAAGUCUGUUUUACAAGAUCCAAAUUUAGCUUGGAAAAAUCAUGAGUGAAUUGAAAUGGUAGAAUUGCGGGGCCUUUUUAUUAUUGACCUAUUUCUAAUCUACGUGUUUGGAAAAUAAUUUUAGAAAUUAUAAUGGCAUUUCUUAUAUUUUGGGUGACAAGUGGUUGUCGAGUUCUGUUUUAAAUCUCUUUAUCGGUAGUACAAGAGUUAUUCAAAUACUUGGCUUACGAAUCAAAUGGACUAAAUUAAUUUCAAAACCUUAAACAUAAACUAAACCUGUAUGACGUAUGGCCAUGCCCCGUUUCACAUUUAGUUAAUAGUAGCUGACAUGUUUAAGGAUGAUAUUCUUAUUCCACUCGGAAUGCGUACCUUUCAGGCAUUAGGUUUACUCAUAAGAUCAAUGGUUUAUUGGACAACACUCAUUCUUUUAUUGUUCAAAAGAUGCUCAGUGACAUAAGCGACA